AUUGAACGCUGGCGGCAUGCCUUACACAUGCAAGUCGAACGGCAGCACGGGAGCAAUCCUGGUGGCGAGUGGCGAACGGGUGAGUAAUAUAUCGGAACGUGCCCAGUCGUGGGGGAUAACGCAGCGAAAGCUGUGCUAAUACCGCAUACGAUCUAUGAAUGAAAGCGGGGGACCGCAAGGCCUCGCGCGAUUGGAGCGGCCGAUAGCAGAUUAGCUAGUUGGGGGGGUAAAGGCCCACCAAGGCGACGAUCUGUAGCUGGUCUGAGAGGACGACCAGCCACACUGGAACUGAGACACGGUCCAGACUCCUACGGGAGGCAGCAGUGGGGAAUUUUGGACAAUGGGCGCAAGCCUGAUCCAGCAAUGCCGCGUGCAGGAUGAAGGCCUUCGGGUUGUAAACUGCUUUUGUACGGAACGAAACGGUGAGCUUUAAUACAGUUUGCUAAUGACGGUACCGUAAGAAUAAGCACCGGCUAACUACGUGCCAGCCGCCGCAGUAA
rnacentral:rRNA from 1 species